rnacentral:rRNA from 1 species
CAGUAGCCGCGGGAAUACGAAGGGGGCUAGCGUUGUUCGGAUUUACUGGGCGUAAAGCGCACGUAGGCGGAUCGAUCAGUCAGGGGUGAAAUCCCAGAGCUCAACUCUGGAACUGCCUUUGAUACUGUCGAUCUGGAGUAUGGAAGAGGUGAGUGGAAUUCCGAGUGUAGAGGUGAAAUUCGUAGAUAUUCGGAGGAACACCAGUGGCGAAGGCGGCUCACUGGUCCAUUACUGACGCUGAGGUGCGAAAGCGUGGGGAGCAAACAGGAUUAGAUACCCGCGUAGUCCCUGUCUCUUAUAC